CAGCAGCCGCGGUAAAACGAAGGGGGCUAGCGUUGCUCGGAAUCACUGGGCGUAAAGGGUGCGUAGGCGGGUCUUUAAGUCAGGGGUGAAAUCCUGGAGCCCAACUCCAGAACUGCCUUUGAUACUGAAGAUCUUGAGUUCGGGAGAGGUGAGUGGAACUGCGAGUGUAGAGGUGAAAUUCGUAGAUAUUCGCAAGAACACCAGUGGCGAAGGCGGCUCACUGGCCCGAUACUGACGCUGAGGCACGAAAGCGUGGGGAGCAAACAGGAUUAGAUACCCGCGUAGUCCCUGUCUCUUAUAC
rnacentral:rRNA from 1 species